GUAGAGAUGCUUCGUUUCAACCGACUCGAUAGAGGAGGAAGAAACCCCUAAAAACUUCCGACUUUUCAGUGGAAAUCGCGCUUAUUAUUCCUCGUUUUAGGGGAGUUUUUGCCAGUGAUUUCAGAUGGCGGCGGCAUUGGUUAAGGCGAAUAGGGAACGUCCAGCUGUGUGGGUAAGGCGGGGCAGGGCUGGGCGGGGAAGCAAGUCGCGUGACCUCCUGCUUCGAUCUCUUCGGCUCGCUUGAUAUCAGCUGCUUCCGUUCCCCACCAAUUCCAUCUUCUUUCUUGAUUCGGCUAGGUCUUCCUGUAUCUAUUGAAGGAACCUCGCCAUAUGGAUGCAAAACCAUUUUCAGAAUGUCGAGCUGCAGAUAGUCUCUCUAAUUCGUUGCGUGAUAAAAUCGCCAGUGAGCAGGGUGAGAAAGAAGUCGUCAAGGAUUCUCGAUGUGUGUUUGUUGGGGAGAAAGUUGUUGGGGGUGCUUGCUGAUUGCUUUUCCAGAAACCCCUGAACGAGCCCAAGAUUCAGUAAAAGAUGGCCGGAUUGACUUGGGUUCAAAUUUUCUAUUCUAAGCAGAUUUUCCCUACUCGUUUAAUGGUCUUCAUAAUCAUAAUUCUCUUGUAAGCUCUGCAGGAUGAGGCUGUUGUUUAGAAGUUUUGGAUGCGUGAUCAAAUGACGGGUGAGUCUUUUCAACAUAAGAGCAUCUGUAUAGUUUUAUCCUGCUUAACAGAAUUUUGCAUGUCUAUAAAUACGGCACCUUGAAGAUCUCGUUAAAAACAGACAUAAUGUCUGGUAUAUAAUAGGAUGAUUGCACUAUUCGUUGUUUGAAAA